rnacentral:rRNA from 1 species
AACGAACGCUGGCGGCAUGCCUAACACAUGCAAGUCGAACGAGACCUUCGGGUCUAGUGGCGCACGGGUGCGUAACGCGUGGGAACCUGCCCUUAGGUUCGGAAUAACUCCCCGAAAGGGGUGCUAAUACCGGAUAAUGUCUUCGGACCAAAGAUUUAUCGCCUUUGGAUGGGCCCGCGUUGGAUUAGCUAGUUGGUAGGGUAAAAGCCUACCAAGGCGACGAUCCAUAGCUGGUCUGAGAGGAUGAUCAGCCACACUGGGACUGAGACACGGCCCAGACUCCUACGGGAGGCAGCAGUGGGGAAUAGUGGACAAUGGGCGAAAGCCUGAUCCAGCAAUGCCGCGUGAGUUAUGAAGGCCUUAGGGUUGUAAAGCUCUUUUACCCGGGAUGAUAAUGACAGUACCGGGAGAAUAAGCGCCGGCUAACUCCGUG